rnacentral:lncRNA from 1 species
AGUGUUAACGCCAAGAUCUUUCUCCACGUCCCAAUCACGUAAGACGUCCUGAUCCUGCACAGUAAACACAGUCAACACCGAAAGCUUGACGGCGGUUCCGUCGGGGGAUAGCUCAGGCGUGAGAAUUAGUACGUGUUCACAAGGUUAACAAUGGAGGAAUAUAUGGUCUAGUGUAUUGAGAGAAUUAAAAUCUCAGUCGUGUGUAUGGGAGAAUAUGAAUAAUCAAUAUAUGAGAGAACGUACCUCCAUACGAUGGCUUCCUUGCUAAGUUAUAUUACCUUUGCUUGGAUUACUGUGCCACCCACUACUACCUGACACCCCCUCUGAUCUG